GGAGUUGACUUGUUGACUAGAGAGAUAAGGCGGGAAAACUUGAGCAGGUGAUGGCGGUCUUACGGCGGGCUGUGGCGGUGGCUGCAUCUGCUGGGCCCACUGCUGCUGAUAUUGUGGUGGUGGUGGCUGAGAGAGUUGGGAGCGUGGCGGUGGUGGUUGAGUGACUUGGGUCUGGUAAUGUGGGUCUUGUUGCAGGUAGUGAUUUGGUGUUGGUGCUGGAGAUAGAUAGUAUGUUUGUGGCUGAGACAUGGGCGGUUGGUGGGCAGCAGGUGGUGGUGCAGGGAGUUGGGGAAGAGCAAGAGCUAGUUGCUGAUUGUGUCCUUCUGGAAAAUUGUCAUUCCUUUUAUCAGAAGAAGGUGUGGAAACCUCUUCAGUUUUCUGAGAUUCAGACUCUUUGUGUGCA
rnacentral:lncRNA from 1 species